GUGAGGAAUUUUCCGCAAUGGGCGAAAGCCUGACGGAGCAAUGCCGCGUGAAGGAUGAAGGCCUAUGGGUUGUAAACUUCUUUUCUCAGAAAAGAAUUAUGACGGUAUCUGAGGAAUAAGCAUCGGCUAACUCUGUGCCAGCAGCCGCGGUAAGACAGAGGAUGCAAGCGUUAUCAGGAAUGAUUGGGCGUAAAGCGUCUGUAGGUUGUUUAAAAAGUAUUCUGUCAAAGAUUAGGGCUUAACCCUAGAUAGGCAGAAUAAACUUUUAAGCUAGAGUUUGGUAGAGGCAGAGGGAAUUCCCGGUGGAGCGGUGAAAUGCGUAGAUAUCGGGAGGAACACCAAAGGCGAAGGCACUCUGCUGGGCCAAUACUAACACUGAGAGACGAAAGCGAGGGGAGCAAAUGGGAUUAGAAACCCUAGUAGUCC
rnacentral:rRNA from 1 species